CUGACGACCAUAGAGUGUUGGAACCACCUGAUCCCAUGCCGAACUCAGAAGUGAAACGACAUAUCGCCGAUGGUAGUGUGGGGUCUCCCCAUGUGAGAGUAGGUCAUCGUCAGGC
rnacentral:rRNA from 1 species